rnacentral:tRNA from 1 species
GGGAAGGUGGCUCAGUGGUAGAGUGCUUGCCUUGCAUGCAUGAGGCCCUGGAGUUCCAUUCCU